rnacentral:misc_RNA from 1 species
GGAAAUCCUAUUUCUGAAGCUAUGCUUUGCCUAAAUUAGAGGCUGAAUUCAUCGAUUAUCAAUUUUUCUAUUCCAGUCAUUCUCUACAAACAUAAUGAUACAAUGGCAUUGUGCUCCACACACCAGCUUUGGCAGUAACUUAGAAGCAGCCCCGAGUACAUUCAAUUUAAGACUCCCAAAAGGCUCCUAUAGUCUCUAGCUGAGCUUUGAAUCAGUAUAAACUAUAGCCUGCCACUUAACAGUCCGUAUGAACUAGAAACAAAAGCCUGGACUUGCUAUGUAGUUAAUGAAUCCGGAAGGGUCGAGCGGGCUCCAAGAACCUUUCCACCGACGUCUGGGAAAUUUUCUUGUCCAGAGAAGGGGCUUACUUUGCCAUUACUGUCUACCUCCAAAGGGUAUUUAAGGAGAUGCCCCUGCAAUGGUGAAAAUUCCUUCUCUGUGAACCUC